CCCUUAGAUGUUCUGGGCGGCCCGCGCACUACAAUGGCGUGUGCAGCGAGUGCCGAAGUAGAGUUUUCCGAGGUAUUCUUGCAAUGCUCGUUUUGAUGGGGAUAGACCCUUGCAACUGUUGGUUUUGAACGAGGAAUUCCUUGUAAGCAUGGUUUAUCAUCCGACGCUGAAUGCGUCCCUGCCCUUUGUACACACCGCCCGUCGCUCCUACCGAUGAGUCAUCCGGUGAAGUUCGUAGACCUCGUGAUCGCGGAUCACUGGGGGAAGCAAAAUGAACCUCGCGGUUUAGAGGAAGGAGAAGUCGUAACA
rnacentral:rRNA from 1 species